UAAGAAGGGUGCAAGCGUUAAUCGGCAUUACUGGGCGUAACGCGCGCGUAGGUGGUUCGUUAAGUUGGAUGUGCAAGCCCCGGGCUCAACCUGGGAACUGCAUCCAAAACUGGCGAGCUAGAGUAUGGCAGAGGGUGGUGGAAUUUCCUGUGUAGCGGUGAAAUGCGUAGAUAUAGGAAGGAACACCAGUGGCGAAGGCGACCACCUGGGCUAAUAAGGACACUGAGGUGAGAACGCGUGGGGAGCACACAGGAUUCGAUAACCCCGUAGUCC
rnacentral:rRNA from 1 species